GGAGUAGUGGCUCAGUGGUAGAGCACUUACUUGGCAUGUGUGAGGCCCUGGGUUCGAUCCUCAGCUCCA
rnacentral:tRNA from 1 species